GUAACAUAUGCGUGUAUCGGUGCCCCUUUCGGGGCCAAAAGGGAAUGCGGUGCCGUCUCCGGCGUCUUGGGGACCAAAUCCGCAGCCGCCCCCGCGACUGUAGGCGGAGAGCGGACGCCCAUCGUGCCACUGGCCAUCCGGCCGGGAAGGCGGGCGUCAGCCGUGACCCGCGAGCCAGGAGACCUGCCGAUGCGUGAAACCGCAA
rnacentral:ncRNA from 2 species